rnacentral:rRNA from 1 species
UACAGAGGUCCCGAGCGUUGUUCGGAUUCACUGGGCGUAAAGGGUGCGUAGGUGGUGAGGUAAGUCGGAUGUGAAAGCUCCAAGCUCAACUUGGAAAUGGCAUUGGAAACUACCUUGCUAGAGGGUUUGAGGGGGGACUGGAAUACUUGGUGUAGCAGUGAAAUGCGUAGAUAUCAAGUGGAACACCAGUGGCGAAGGCGAGUCCCUGGAAAACUCCUGACACUGAGGCACGGAAGCUAGGGGAGCAAACAGG